rnacentral:lncRNA from 1 species
CCAUUUUUUGUUUAAUCUCUUAUUCCAUAGACUAUCAUAUCUAUCAGAUUCUUCAUAACUAACUGUAUAAUAAUUAGGACUUAGUGUUUUUGGAUUCUUUACUUCUGAUGUACCUGAUGUACUUGGCUUUGUAUCUUUAAUAUCUCCGGUAUUUAUUUCUGUAAAUUUCGUAUCAUUUUCUAUAUUUGCUAAUAUUUCUGUGUUUGUUUCACUUAUAUCUGAACCUUAUUCUGAGCAGUUUUCAUCUAUAUCUACAUUAUCAACUCUUAUAUCUGGGGUUUCUUUUUCUUGAGUUAAUUUUUCUUUAAAUUUUUCUAUCUCUAUUUUUAAUUUUGUUUCCAUUUCUUUUUCUUUUUGUUUAGCCGCAUAUAGUUCUUUAAGCAUAUUUAGUUCUUUUUCUAGGGCAAUUAUUUUAUCAUUUUUCACUUCUUCGAUUUGUUGCAUUUCUAAUUUUGCUUGUUGUUUUAUUGUAUCUAUUUCUUUUUCCUUAUCUAUUUCUUCAUUUUUCUCUAGUUAUUCGUACCAUUGCAGUUAGACUAUCUUCUAAUCUCACUGUUUCUUUUUCUACCAUCAAGUAUAGAUUAUCACCUAUUUUUUUAUACCUUCUUCCUAAAUUUGAAAUAUUAUUUUUAUUUUUAAUCCUUCAGGAUUUUCGUAGGUUUUUUCUUCUAUAGCAAAUUCUUCUUUAUUCAUUUUAAAAUGUGUUUUAGUUUAUACUCUAUACUUUGUAUUUCUAGCUCUAGGUUGAAUAUUAUU